rnacentral:tRNA from 1 species
GCCCGCUUAGCUCAAUUGGGAGAGCGUCUGCUUUACACGCAGAAGGUAAUCGGAUCGAAACCGAUAGUGGGUUCCA